rnacentral:lncRNA from 1 species
CCAAUGGUUGCAUUUGAUAGAUACGCGACCUACAAAACAAAACAAUCGAUUAGUAAAGUAAAAUAAAACACAUAUAUGUAAAAGCGAUCGCGAAUCACUUACAGCAGAUAUAGCUUUUCCAAGCUCUUCGUGUAUCCAAUCCCCAGGCUUAGUCAGAAGCAGCUGGGCAGCCUUCGUCUGCACCCCUUCAUCGGCAAACAAGCCAGGAUAAUCAAAUGUGGUGCGGAAGGGGGCGAAUUCAGGCACAGACCUCGAGCUCGACCCAGUCUCGAAGGUUCUGCGGGGGCCAGUCUCUUGGGCCUUCCUUUCUCGUAUCAGCUUAGCGCCGCGAAGUCUCACGGCCAAGUGUGGAA